rnacentral:rRNA from 1 species
GGUGGUGGGUAGGGGAGCGUCGUGCGAGCCGGUGAAGCCGCCGAGUGAUCGUGUGGUGGAGGUCGUGCGAGUGAGAAUGCAGGCAUGAGUAGCGAGUCAGAAGUGAGAAUCUUCUGCGCCGGAUGACCAAGGGUUCCUGGGGCAGGUUCGUCCGCCCAGGGUAAGUCGGGACCUAAGGCGAGGCCGACAGGCGUAGUCGAUGGACAACGGGUUGAUAUUCCCGUACCCGCUGUGAUGCGCCCAUAUCGAAUCCAGUGAUACUAAGGGUCCUUAGCCCGGUUGGCUCUUCGGAGCCGGCGUCAGGGUGAACGCCUGGCCUGAUCUGGUAGUAGGUAAGCGAUGGGGUGACGCAGGAAGGUAGCCCAGCCCGGGCGGUGGUUGUCCCGGGGUAAGCAUGUAGGGCGUGCUGUAGGCAAAUCCGCAGCACUUAAGCCUGAGGUGUGAUGCCGAGCCGAUUGUGGCGAAGUGGGUGAUCCUAUGCUGCCGAGAAAAGCCUCUAGUGAGUGUCGCGGCGGCCCGUACCCUAAACCGACUCAGGUGGUCAGGUAGAGAAUACCAAGGCGGUCGGGUGAACUGUGGUUAAGGAACUCGGCAAAUUGCCCCCGUAACUUCGGGAGAAGGGGGACCUCUGCUGGUGUAGGAUUUUGCGUUCGAAGCUGGUGGGGGUCGCAGUGGCCAGGGGGAAGCGACUGUUUACUAAAAACACAGGUCCGUGCGAAGUCGUAAGACGAUGUAUACGGACUGACGCCUGCCCGGUGCCGGAACGUUAAGGGGACCGCUUAGCCGUCUUUGGACGGCGAAGGUGAGAACUUAAGCGCCGGUAAACGGCGGUGGUAACUAUAACCAUCCUAAGGUAGCGAAAUUCCUUGUCGGGUAAGUUCCGACCUGCACGAAUGGCGUAACGACUUCCCCGCUGUCUCAACCACAGGCCCGGUGAAAUUGCAGUACGAGUAAAGAUGCUCGUUUCGCGCAGCAGGACGGAAAGACCCCGGGACCUUCACUACAGCUUGACAUUGGCGUUUGGAGCGUCUUGUGUAGGAUAGGUGGGAGACUGGGAAGCGGUGACGCUAGUCAUCGUGGAGUCAUUGGUGAAAUACCACUCUGGUCGUUUUGGACGUCUAACCCGCGCCCGUGUAUCCGGGUGGGGGACAGUGUCUGGUGGGUAGUUUAACUGGGGCGGUUGCCUCCUAAAAGGUAACGGAGGCGCCCAAAGGUUCCCUCAGCCUGGUUGGCAAUCAGGUGUCGAGUGUAAGUGCACAAGGGAGCUUGACUGUGAGACUGACGGGUCGAGCAGGAGCGAAAGCUGGGACUAGUGAUCCGGCAUCGGCGUGUGGAAGCGGUGUCGCUCAACGGCUAAAAGGUACCCCGGGGAUAACAGGCUGAUCUUCCCCAAGAGUCCAUAUCGACGGGAUGGUUUGGCACCUCGAUGUCGGCUCGUCGCAUCCUGGGGCUGGAGUAGGUCCCAAGGGUUGGGCUGUUCGCCCAUUAAAGCGGUACGCGAGCUGGGUUUAGAACGUCGCGAGACAGUUCGGUCCCUAUCCGCUGCGCGCGCAGGAGACUUGCGAGGGGCUGUCCCUAGUACGAGAGGACCGGGACGGACGAACCUCUGGUGUGCCAGUUGUUCCGCCAGGAGCACGGCUGGUUGGCUACGUUCGGUAGGGAUAACCGCUGAAAGCAUCUAAGCGGGAAGCUCGCCUCAAGAUGAGGUCUCCCACCACCUUGUGUGGGUAAGGCCCCCUAGAGAUGAUGGGGUUGAUAGGCCGGAAGUGGAAGCGCAGUAAUGUGUGGAGCUGACCGGUACUAAUAGGCCGAGGACUUGACCAUAU